rfam:Cicer arietinum chromosome Ca7, whole genome shotgun sequence.
ACACAUGUGGGGAGUACAAAGUGAAUUAUUUUUUCGCUUUUUACUAAAAAAUACCAUGUGUUUCAUCAUGCUAAAAGGCACAUGUCAAUUUUUUGAAGGAUUUCUUCUUUAUGGAAGAAG